CCCGUGGUCCGGCUGACCCAUUCGCUCACCUGUGUUUGGACACUGUACACCUUCCUGUGCAAUGGCCCCCUCGUUGGACGAGAUCGUCUCCGCCAUCCUCGUGUGUCUGGAAGUCACUCCCUGCCUGGUGCCGGCCUGGGGCCCACGCUUCCAUCAGGACUCCGUCCUUGGGCGCUGGGGCAUUAUUAUGCCUCGUUGAAUGUUACCGGCAAGCCCCAUCCAAUGAUCUUGCUCCUGAACGGCGAUGCCGACUGGACAUCGUCCCUAAUGUUCUAGCUGAUCUCCAAUUUCGGCCUGCUUAGUACCCUGACCGUCGACGACGUCCUAUUCAACUGGAGCACGGGCCGUAUCGCCGAACUUCGAGUGGACU